UGGGGAAUUUUGGACAAUGGGCGAAAGCCUGAUCCAGCAAUGCCGCGUGUGUGAAGAAGGCCUUCGGGUUGUAAAGCACUUUUGUCCGGAAAGAAAUGGCUCUGGUUAAUACCUGGGGUCGAUGACGGUACCGGAAGAAUAGGGACCGGCUAACUACGUGCCAGCAGCCGCGGUAAUACGUAGGGUCCAAGCGUUAAUCGGAAUUACUGGGCGUAAAGCGUGCGCAGGCGGUUGUGCAAGACCGAUGUGAAAUCCCCGAGCUUAACUUGGGAAUUGCAUUGGUGACUGCACGGCUAGAGUGUGUCAGAGGGGGGUAGAAUUCCACGUGUAGCAGUGAAAUGCGUAGAGAUGUGGAGGAAUACCGAUGGCGAAGGCAGCCCCCUGGGAUAACACUGACGCUCAUGCACGAAAGCGUGGGGAGCAAACAGGAUUAGAUACCCUGGUAGUCCACGCCCUAAACGAUGUCAACUAGUUGUUGGGGAUUCAUUUCCUUAGUAACGUAGCUAACGCGUGAAGUUGACCGCCU
rnacentral:rRNA from 1 species